rnacentral:rRNA from 1 species
CCAGCUAUAAUCUACUCGAUCUUGAUGUCCUAACCGGAUAACUGCGAUAAUUUUGGAGCUAAUACGUGCACCAAUGCCCGGGACUAACGUACGGGCGCACUUAUUAGAUCAAGACCAAUCGGGGCAACCCGUUCUGGUGACUCUGAAUAAUUUCGCUGAUCGCAUGGUCUAGCACCGGCGACGUAUCGUUCGAGUGUCUGCCUUAUCAACUUUCGAUGGAAGUCCAUGUGACUGCCAUGGUUGUUACGGGUAACGGAGAAUAAGGGUUCGACUCCGGAGAGGGAGCCUGAGAAACGGCUACCACAUCCAAGGAAGGCAGCAGGCGCGUAAAUUACCCACUCUCAAUGCGAGGAGGUAGUAACUAUCAAUAACGAGACAGUUCUCUAUGAGGCCUGUUAUCGGAAUGGGUACAAUUUAAACCCUUUAACGAGGAUCUAUGAGAGGGCAAGUCUGGUGCCAGCAGCCGCGGUAAUUCCAGCUCUCAAGGUGUAUAUCGUCAUUGCUGCGGUUAAAAAGCUCGUAGUUGGAUCUGAGUCUGUGGGCGCGGUGCACCAUGUGUGUAACUGUGAUCCCGGACUGUUUUGUUGGUUUUCUGCAGUUUGCCUUCAUCGGUAGGCUGUGGUGGCUGACAUGUUUACCUUGAAUAAAUCAGAGUGCUCAAAACAAGCGUUUCGCUUGAAUAUUCGUGCAUGGAAUAAUGGAACAGGACUUCGGUUCGUUCUGUUGGUCUUAGAACCGAUGUAAUGGUUAAGAGGGACAGACGGGGGCAUCCGUAUCGCUGCGUGAGAGGUGAAAUUCUG